AUCACGGGGUGCUGAGUGAUUCAGCUGAGAUUAUACCCAUAGAACCUGAUGCGGAUAAUGCUGCCGAAGGGAAAAUGAUAUAA
rnacentral:ncRNA from 1 species